CUGCUGUCACAUAAAGGCUGUGCGUUGUUCAGCUGUGCGUGUCAUUUUAAUCACCAGUCUUGCAUGUUGACAGUGGUUGCUCUUAAUUUUUAGCGCUUUCACUAAAACAUGAACAUCAAACUUGUGAACAGCUUCAUGUGAGCACACUGAAGAGAACUGCCAGACAUCAAGAACAACAGCCUGUUGCAAAAACCAUCAAACUGCUUAGGUUAAGAAGCAAAUCAUGCUGAGAGAAGAUCACAGACCCCAGGAAGGCUGCAGUAAAAUAAGGACUGCAGUUCAUCAGGGCGUACACGGCUUCCAUCAGCCGCAAGCACCGGUGGCAGUAGAUCUACUUCACUGGAAUUAAUAAUGCAAACUGUAAUUGGAGGAGGGAGCACCUAUAAUUUGGCGUUCAAAAUCUUUAUAACUGCUCACAUUAUGAACGAAGCUUGAUUUGUAGUUGAGCCUUAAGUUCUGGCAGCAGAAGAAAAUACUACAUAGGUGAUAGAAAUGGCUGGAGAAGAGGUACAUAAAACCUCGGAGGCACUUCCCCUACUGCCUAUGUUUGCUAGUGUAUUCUAUACAUGCAACCUUACUUCCCACACUUGGGCUUUUGUCAGUAUUUGCAAAAACAGACUGCAUAAGUGCCCUUGGGCUCCUGAAUCAGCACAGCCUCAAGGCUGCACUGAUAUUCUGCCUUCGGCUCAGCCUUAGCCCCACUUCACGCCCUGUGUCAUGCCUUGGGGCAAGGUGCAGCUUUUAGUGUAAGCUUCACAGUGCUCAGGGAGACGGCUUGCACAGGGCAUC
ensembl:lncRNA